UACAGAGGUCCCGAGCGUUGUUCGGAUUUACUGGGCGUAAAGGGUGCGUAGGUGGUCGGGUAAGUCUCAUGUGAAAUCCCGCAGCUUAACUGCGGAACGGCAUGGGAUACUAUUCGGCUCGAGGAUUGGAGGGGGGACUGGAAUUCCCGGUGUAGCAGUGAAAUGCGUACGAUAUCGGGAGGAACACCAGUGGCGAAGGCGAGUCCCUGGACAAUUCCUGACGCUGAGGCACGAAAGCCAGGGGAGCAAACAGG
rnacentral:rRNA from 1 species